rnacentral:rRNA from 1 species
GUGAGGAAUUUUCCGCAAUGGGCGAAAGCCUGACGGAGCAAUGCCGCGUGAAGGAUGAAGGCCUAUGGGUUGUAAACUUCUUUUCUCAGAAAAGAAUUAUGACGGUAUGUGAGGAAUAAGCAUCGGCUAACUCUGUGCCAGCAGCCGCGGUAAGACAGAGGAUGCAAGCGUUAUCCGGAAUGAUUGGGCGUAAAGCGUCUGUAGGUUGUUUAAAAAGUAUUCUGUCAAAGAUUAGGGCUUAACCCUAGAUAGGCAGAAUAAACUUUUAAGCUAGAGUUUGGUAGAGGCAGAGGGAAUUCCCGGUGGAGCGGUGAAAUGCGUAGAUAUCGGGAGGAACACCAAAGGCGAAGGCACUCUGCUGGGCCAAUACUAACACUGAGAGACGAAAGCGAGGGGAGCAAAUGGGAUUAGAAACCCCAGUAGCC